rnacentral:lncRNA from 1 species
CGGAGAGUACCGGCCUGAGUUCCGUGGUGGACGCGGUGGUGGUUUUGGCCGUGGAGGUGGUUCACCCAGCGCUAUCACCGAGUAGAGCCUUCUUCUGAAUAUGUUAUUUACAAUUCUCCAAUAUGGAAUUUGAGGGAGCUACAGGACAGCAUUAGCUCUGCUAUGUCUCAGGCCUUAGGUGUGAGUUAGAAAUUCUAACUUACAGUGCUGCGUAAUUCCAAUGAUCGCAAUGAGCUUUACUGGAGAAGCACUUACUUACUCGCAUCUUUGUCGUUGACCAAAUUUGGAGAGCACAAUGG